AUACCGUGAAACUGCGAAUUGGCUCAUUAAAUCAGUUAUCGUUUAUUUGAUAGUACCUUACUACUUGGGAUACCUGUGGGUAAAUUUCUAGAGCUAAUACAUGCUAAAAAACCCUCGAACUUNCGGAAAGGGGUGUAUUUAUUAGAUAAAAAAAACCCAAUGCCCUUUCGGGGCUCCUUUGGUGAUUCAUAAUAACUUCUCAGAUCGCAUGGCCUUGCGCCGGCGACGGGUUCAUUCAAAUUUCUGCCCUAUCAACUUUCGAUGGUACGGUAUUGGCGUACCAUGGUGGCAACGGGUAACGGGGAAUUAGGGUUCGAUUCCGGAGAGUUAGCCUGAGAAACGGCUAACACAUCCAAGGAAGGCAGCAGGCGCGCAAAUUACCCAAUCCCGACACGGGGAGGUAGUGACAAUAAAUACUGAUACAGGGCUCUUUUGGGUCUUGUAAUUGGAAUGAGUACAAUUUAAACCUCUUAACGAGGAACAAUUGGAGGGCAAGUCUGGUGCCAGCAGCCGCGGUAAUUCCAGCUCCAAUAGCGUAUAUUAAAGUUGUUGCAGUUAAAAAGCUCGUAGUUGAACCUUUGGCCUGGCUGGCAGGUCCGCCUCACCGCGUGCACUUGUCCGGCCGGGCCUUUUCUUCUGGAGAACCUCAUGCUCUUCAUUGGGUGUGUUGGGGACCAGGACUUUUACUUUGAAAAAAUUAGAGUGUUCAAAGCAGGCCUUUGCUCGAAUACGUUAGCAUGGAAUAAUAGAAUAGGACGUGCGGUUCUAUUUUGUUGGUUUCUAGGACCGCCGUAAUGAUUAAUAGGGACAGUCGGGGGCAUCAGUAUUCAAUUGUCAGAGGUGAAAUUCUUGGAUUUAUUGAAGACUAACUACUGCGAAAGCAUUUGCCAAGGGAUGUUUUCAUUAAUCAGUGAACGAAAGUUANGGGGAUCGAAGACGAUCAGAUACCGUCGUAGUCUUAACCAUAAACUAUGCCGACUAGGGAUCGGGCGGUGUUAUUAUUUUGACCCGCUCGGCACCUUACGAGAAAUCUAAAGUGUUUGG
rnacentral:rRNA from 1 species